rnacentral:rRNA from 1 species
CGCGUAGGCGGUUUUAUAAGUGAGAUGUGAAAGGCCUGGGCUUAACCUAGGAACGGCAUCUUAGACUAUAGGACUAGAGUGCAGUAGAGGGUGGCGGAAUUUCCGGUGUAGCGGUGAAAUGCGUAGAGAUCGGAAGGAACACCAGUGGCGAAGGCGGCCACCUGGACUGUCACUGACGCUGAGGCGCGAGAGCGUGGGUAGCAAACAGGAUUAGAUACCCUGGUAGUCCACGCUGUAAACGAUGAGAACUAGAUGUUUGUUUGCGCGAGCGAAUGAGUAUCGAAGCUAACGCGAUAAGUUCUCCGCCUGGGGAGUACGGUCGCAAGAUUAAA